rnacentral:lncRNA from 1 species
CUUUGCCUUAAAAAGUCUGUGUUGAAAAGUUAUUUUUUAGCCUGGCAAUGCAUAAAAUAGAAAAUAAUGAAAACUUGUGCUAGCUAGUUUUCGAAUCGGUCAAUAAAACCGGCGAUAAUGGUAACAUCAAUUUUACUAAAACGCAAGCUUAAAGCCGGAUGAAAAUGAUAUAAUAACAUCGUGUAUAGUUUAGCAAACAUCGAGUAAACUUAUAUAAACGAGUAAUAACUGAUAGAAAUAAUAAUUAACCGAUAAGUGUUUUAAUAUAUUGAUUUCAUUCAGUCAACACUGUCGCGAGUUUAGACAAAAAAGAGUUUGGCAAAUAUACAACAGCAACGAGAACGUGAUCAUCAACAACAGCAUCUUUACUCUAAGACAAAGGCGACUAUAAUUUCCAUCCUAAAGAUGUAUUAUUUUCUCAAUUUUUACAAACACUACGUCAUUUACAUCAUUUUCACGGCUCAUGACCACGCCAACACAGUAAAACGUUCAAGUCGUUUGCGGUGUUUUAUGUGAAUUCACUUUCUGUUGCUACUUCAGGGAAUUUCAGGGUUGUUUAAAAGAAAGAUAAGUGGUUUUAAAAGUUUAGUAAUCUAUGUUUUCGCUCGAAUACAAAAGUAUAAGUAAUUUUGUUUCCUGCUGUUGUCGUUGUUGUUUGCCAAACUCACCAAAAAAUACCUUAAACGAUGUAGCGUGUCAACGCAAAGGCAACAGCCAUCACAAACUCAUUCAAACGAGAAAUUGUAAAGUAAAUGUUGUCGUGUUUUAUCAAUCGAAUGAAUUUAGUACAGCUGAACAGAUUUAUGGUUGAGAAUAGUUUUACUGAGCAAUUCAUUUCCGGAGUACCUCAAAAAUCUGUGGUUUAUGAUUAUUCAUUCUUUUCUAAAAUGUUAUGAAUUUCAUUGUAUGAAUAGCCGUCGUCUUCGGGAGUUGCCGUGCUACAUCGCAAGGGUUUCUGAGGGGCUGUUUAUAUGAGACGUGCGGUCUGGCCCUAUAUUAGCCGGGCUAAAGCCCCCGGUCAAACGAAAAUGAGAGUUGAUGAGAGCUGGCAUUCACGAAUUGUUACAGUCGACAUUUCAAGCUCUAGAUUAACAAAAUGUAGAUUUGAUGAGUGUUUUAACUAUGUUUUAACUUCAAUAGAAUACAUGAUAGUGUUGGGAAAGCAUUAAGAACAGCUAACCAAGGUCACGUGACUGUCGACUCUCAUCUUCGUUUGUUCCAGGUUUAAGACUUCAACAAACCAAAAUUGACAAGAAAAACUCGUUGACGAGUUUAAUAGUGCGAGGUUUGUCACAAAAGUCAAAUUCAUUCUUUUUUCCUGCACAAAUUUCAGAGUUGAAACUACUUAAAGAAUAAGAACAAUUUAUGUUAAAAGUUUAGAAAUCAAACUUUGUCGAGAAAAAUAUCCAUUCAAAAAAAAUAUUUUCAAGCCUAACAAUGUUUUUUGCUAGCCCGGCUAAAGGACUUUACAUGGAUAUAAAUUUCAGCCCAUGAUGUGCAGGUUAAACACGCGGACUGGCCCAGUUUUCAUUGAAAGUGAAUUGUUUCGUAAAGAAAAUUUGUGUGAAGGCGAACGCCUCUCGUUUAACCGGGUCAACCAGCCUGCCAGACUCAUAUAAACAGCCUCUAUAACGAACUCAAAGAUAAGCUGCUGUUGAAAAACAAAUAAUCAUUUCGUAAUGCAUGCAUGCUUUUACUCCGAGGGGUCCGUCAUGACAGUUGAAAGCGAACGAGAUUUUGAAAUCAAUUUAUUUCUGAGCUGAUUUCCUGAUCUUCAGCUGAUUUCAACAUUUCCUGAAGAUACCAAUUACAGCAUUUUUGGUACAUUUCAAUGCCUUUAUUUCAUUUUAAUACGUUUAAAACAUUGAGAACAAAGUACUGUUUUAUUUAUGAAAUAUCCGGUCUGAAAUACGCAAAAGUGAAACAAGCUUGUUCUUGCUAUAUCACCUGUUUUGUGAGAACUUAUGUGUUUUCUGCAUGAUUUCAAAAUCAUCUAAUUUCUACUCAGCUAAUUUUCUUCAUGGUUUUUAACCUGAUUUCUGAGUGGAGUGUACGCGAGAUUUCUGCCGUGACCGACCCCUCAUUUUGUUACAAUACAAGAAUGUAUGUAAUUGUAUUUGAUACUGUACUACUUACUAUUCAGCCAUUCACAAGUUAACAUCUAAAUGUUUCUUUUGGUUUUGUGUCGUUAAAUUAAUACUGCAUGUCAGAAGUUUUCGACAUUUCAAAUUUGCAUGCCAUGACGUUUUUCAUCCGGUUCAUUAAAUUAACAAGCCGAAAAAACUAAAAUAUUUUGAAGACAGAUAUGAAAAAGUUAAAAACUUUCAUUAAAGUUUUGAAAGUUUUUUCUAACGAUGUUAAACUACAUGUCGACUUAACUUUUUUCCGAUGUCUUUUUAAAAGUUUCAAACGAAGAUGGCCAGCUAAAUGUGGACAAAGUCUUUAGUAUACUCUUUUAGUAAAGUGAAUUUAUUACCACAAUAUUAGCAUUAUGUAUUUAUUGUUAUUAAAGAGUGUAUAUAACCCAAAGCUUAUGACAAUAUAGUCUUUCUUUAAGUGAUCUUAUUGUAAUAUAUUGCGUCUGUUUUAGUGGACAUUCCUGUUGAAGCGAAGUUGAUCAUUGUACUUUUACUAUGAUAAAUAUAAUCAUCAAAAAAAGUUUACAUUAAUUGUAGAAGAAAUGAAAAGUUAAAGAACUGU